GCCAACAUUUUUUUCAUUGUAUUUUUGUUCGUGUAUUAGUAAAUGUCUGGAUUUUCUAUUCGGUGAACAAGAAAUAAAAAAACUACGUUCUUUCACUAUAUAUAUAUAUAUAUUCAAUUUCUUCUUGCAAACAGAAAAAUGAAAAAUGAAAACACAUGCAACACAACAUAGAGAAACAAACAUAGACAAGUUUUCAAAAAAAAAAAAAAAAAAACGUAGUCGCUGAAAAAAAUCCAUGUUUUGUGUGAUAUUUCAUUCAAAGAAUAAUAAAUGUGGCAUCAAUAUGAGGAUGUGUGAUUCUAUAAUUCUGUGAGAUCGUCACAUGUAACAUGUCAUUUUUUUUAUUAUUCUAUGUGCAACAAACAAACAGAAUCAUCAUAAUAACAACCAACAAGAACAUUGUUUGAUAUGAACAACCAACAAUGACAUCGUUUGUUUGUGUGUAUAUGUGUUCGGUUACCGAUUAAAUAGGUUGAUUUCAUUUUUUUUUUUUCCUUGAAAACAAACAAACAAAAAAAAUUGUGAGCAAAUCCAGAUGAAAAUUGAAUCGACAAAUAAAUUUCAAUUUUUCCGUUAUUCUCUCUCUCUCUCUGGUUCUGGUUCUGGUGAUGACGGGCACCACAUGAAUUUUUUCAUUUCAUU